rnacentral:rRNA from 1 species
GAGCGGCCGUAGCAAUACGGCAGCGGCAGACGGGAGAGUAACACGUGGGAACGUGCCCAUCAGUUCGGAACAACCCAGGGAAACUUGGGCUAAUACCGGAUNCGCCCUUACGGGGAAAGAUUUAUCGCUGAUGGAGCGGCCCGCGUCUGAUUAGCUAGUUGGUGAGGUAACGGCUCACCAAGGCGACGAUCAGUAGCUGGUCUGAGAGGAUGAUCAGCCUCACUGGGACUGAGACACGGCCCAGACUCCUACGGGAGGCAGCAGUGGGGAAUAUUGGACAAUGGGCGCAAGCCUGAUCCAGCCAUGCCGCGUGGAUGAUGAAGGCCCUAGGGUUGUAAAGUCCUUUCGGCGGGGAAGAUAAUGACGGUACCCGCAGAAGAAGCCCCGGCUAACUUCGUGCCAGCAGCCGCGGUAAUACGAAGGGGGCUAGCGUUGCUCGGAAUCACUGGGCGUAAAGCGCACGUAGGCGGCUUUUUAAGUCAGGGGUGAAAUCCUGGAGCUCAACUCCAGAACUGCCUUUGAUACUGAGAAGCUUGAGUCCGGGAGAGGUGAGUGGAACUGC